rnacentral:rRNA from 1 species
AACGAACGCUGGCGGCGUGCCUAACACAUGCAAGCCGAACGAGAAAGGGCUUCGGCUCCGAGUAAAGUGGCGCACGGGUGAGUAACACGUAGGUAACCUGCCUCUAAGAUUGGGAUAACCUGUCGAAAGACGAGCUAAUACCGAAUAAGACCACGGCUUCCUCGGAAGCAGGGGUCAAAGGUAGCCUCUACUUGUAAGCUAUCACUUAGAGAUGGACCUGCGUACCAUUAGCAGUU